UACGGGGGGAGCAAGCGUUGUUCGGAUUUACUGGGCGUAAAGGGCGCGUAGGCGGCGCAACAAGUCACUUGUGAAAUCCCGAGGCUCAACCUCGGGUCUGCAGUGGGUACGGGCAGACUGGAGUGCGGUAGGGGAGAAUGGAAUUCCUGGUGUAGCGGUGGAAUGCGCAGAUAUCAGGAGGAACACCGAUGGCGAAGGCAGGUCACUGGGCCGCAACUGACGCUGAGGAGCGAAAGCAUGGGGAGCGAACAGG
rnacentral:rRNA from 1 species